ACAAACAAGUACAACAUCGAGGCAGCCCAGGACGUUACCACCAGUUACAACAACGUGUGCUGUAUGUACAGGACCCCGGUUCCUAUGUGAGCAACUAUAUGCCCCUACACCUUGCUCGCCGCCUAAUAAUUAUUGUAUCAACAAGUUAACAAAUUACAUUGAUGGCACAAGGACGGUUGAAAGAAGCUGCGGGAACUUUUCUACAUGCUAUACAGACUGGUUCCUUGGAUCAUCGGAUAACGAUAAAUGUAGACAAUUCAAGGGCAGCGAUUUCAACUUUCUUUCCUUUGAAUGUACCUACUGCUGUGUUACAGACAAUUGCAAUAUUCCAAUCCAUCCUUCAGUAGACACGCUAUACAAGGAUCUCUAAUUUGUUGAAAAGAGUCAUAUUCUUAAUUUAUCACAUACAACUGU